AUACAAACUUAAUCACUAGCUGCAUGAUGCUGCAGAAGUGAGGGAAACCAGAUUUACAUAAUAACUGCAGUGAUAGAAAUGUACUAACUUCAGAUCCUACUGAGGUUGCCUAUUCUAUUCUAGUACUGGG